rnacentral:lncRNA from 1 species
CCUGAUUUAUUUUUUCUGUUGUAAGAGUUUUAUUUUUAAUUUAUAUGUCUGCUGGUUCAUCAUUAACACUUAAGUCAGAUAUGCCUGUCCUCCUGCAGUGAAGGUCCUUAUUCACCCCUGGAAUGAAGCUCCUUUCCUGCAGUUGGACUUCUAAAGAAGCAAGGUGGUGUCCCUGAGCUGUAUUUAACUGGUGGGCAAUUGAGCAGGAGUAAAACAAGGAAAAUAAUGAAAGAACAUGAUUUAUGUUGAUUCACAAACAAGAGAACACAAGCUAUCCCACUGACCUGGCUUAAGCUAAUGAGAUGAACUGGAAAGAGUACUGAAGAACUCGAUUUGGUGCCAUGAAGCUGGGUCCCUAAAGAGGUUUAAUCAGUGAAUAACAUGUUGUGUCCCUGAUGGCAUUAUUCUUCCUAUUUUUUGCUGUCAUAAUACACUGGGAUUUGGAAGGUCUUGUAGCCAGCAGAGAAAGGAAGACAUUAAUAGCGGGAGCUGCGGCAUCUAGCAGCAGGGACUCUAAGGAGUGUAUGUUAGAACUGGGAGGAGGAGAAAGAAAAUUCGGAAAUCUGCAGCUGUGUGUAAGUUGGCUGUUUUCAAAUUGGAGCUCUUCCUUCCACCACUGUGGUUAUACAUACUACAUCAAUGUUGGGUUUCAUAUGCCCAUGCUGUGGCCCAUAGAAAAAAAUGUCUGUUGUUUAGCAGGAAAAUGUAGGAAAAUCUGGACAGUCACUACUGCUAAAAAAUACCUUCUGCAAAAUAAAUUUGCUUUAGAAAUGGGGAGUUCUGUAUUGGCCUUGGUUGUUAUUUUCUGUUCCAUAAUACCUCACCAAUUCUGUUAUACAUAAUGCUAAAAAAUAUUCACCAAAUCAUAAAUGGUCAAAACAAAACAAAACAGAACACCACCACCAACAACAAAAUACCCUCCUCUCUAAAGAAGUUAUAUCUCUUGGUGGCAUUUCAAUUAAAACAAAAGCUACUCAAGGUAGCACAAUAAUGUUUACUGGCCUCUCUUUGUAUGAAGUGCAUAGAUAAAACAGAUUGUCACUAAAGCAAAGGUGUAUUACAAUUCUCUUUAGAUAAAAUGAAUAUAUUCAUCAUCACCAAAACACCUACAUAGCCUAGAGCUAGUUCCCACGGGACUUAUUUUUUAAAGUUUAUAAUUUGCUUGGAUCUCACUCAACUGCCAGG